UACGAAGGGGACUAGCGUUGUUCGGAAUUACUGGGCGCAAAGCGCACGUAGGCGGAUUCGUAAGUCAGGGGUGAAAUCCCGGGGCUCAACCUCGGAACUGCCUUUGAUACUGCGGAUCUCGAGUCCGAUAGAGGUGGGUGGAAUUCCUAGUGUAGAGGUGAAAUCGUAGAUAUUAGGAAGAACACCGGUGGCGAAGGCGGCCCACUGGAUCGGUACUGACGCUGAGGUGCGAAAGCGUGGGGAGCAACAGG
rnacentral:rRNA from 1 species